GAAGUCCCUGUUGGGCAAGGUCUAACCAACCACCCAUACCGAGUGUUGCACCGAAACUGGUAACAGUUAGGUGAAGCGUACACAGGGAACCAUAUAGACCACAGGGGAGACCGUAAUCCCUGAAGCAUAUUGAGCCUCGUAAACGCUAAAGCAGAUGGCGACAUGUUUAACGUCAUGGAAGCCAAUACAGAGAGGUCGUUAAAGGUGAGACUUCCGAGGAUCUGUCGGGGUCCAAGAACG
rnacentral:ncRNA from 1 species